AACGAACGCUGGCGGCAUGCCUAACACAUGCAAGUCGAACGAGACCUUCGGGUCUAGUGGCGCACGGGUGCGUAACGCGUGGGAACCUGCCCUUAGGUUCGGAAUAACUCCCCGAAAGGGGUGCUAAUACCGGAUAAUGUCUUCGGACCAAGGAUUUAUCGCCUUUGGAUGGGCCCGCGUUGGAUUAGCUAGUUGGUAGGGUAAAAGCCUACCAAGGCGACGAUCCAUAGCUGGUCUGAGAGGAUGAUCAGCCACACUGGGACUGAGACACGGCCCAGACUCCUACGGGAAGCAGCAGUGGGGAAUAUUGGACAAUGGGCGAAAGCCUGAUACAGCAAUGCCGCGUGAGUGAUGAAGGCCUUAGGGUUGUAAAGCUCUUUUACCCGGGAUGAUAAUGACAGUACCGGGAGAAUAAGCUCCGGCUAACUCCGUG
rnacentral:rRNA from 1 species